rnacentral:rRNA from 1 species
CGGAGGAAGGUGGGGAUGACGUCAAGUCAUCAUGCCCCUUAUGUCUUGGGCUGCAAACAUGCUACAAUGGCCGGUACAAAGGGCUGCGAACCUGUGAAGGUAAGCGAAUCCCGGAAAGCCGGUCUCAGUUCGGAUUGGGGUCUGCAACUCGACCCCAUGAAGUCGGA